AGAUCUCUCCUUUGAGAUCUUUACUCCAAGAUCUCUCCUCUAAGAUCUCUCCUCUGAGAUCUCUCCUCCGAGAUCUUUACUCCAAGAUCUCUCCUCCGAGAUCUCUCCACUGAGAUCUUUACUCUGAGAUCUCUCCUCUGAGAUCUCUCCUCCGAGGUCUCUACUCCGAGGUCUCUCCUCCGAGGUCUCUCCUCAUACUAUGGAGCUUUAAAUCCCACAAACACAAGUUGCGCGUAAAAUUACGCCGGAGAAUUUGCAUUCCUAGAAAAGAAGUAAGACGCUUUCAGAGCGGUCAAAGUCUCAAACAUUUCACAGUGGUGAAGUGGAGAUAAAACUGACGAUGUGAACAGUUGUGAGGUGUGUGCAUCUAAAGUUUUCAUGUUCUACAGAAAGAGUUAAAGAGCUAAGUUUGGAUGUUAACUAGCUAACGAUUGGCAGCAAGCAAACUAGUUACCUGACGUUACCUAAAUAGUUACGUUACGAGUGUUUAACAUCCCUGCAGAGAACUCGCAGUGUGAACGCAUCUACCGUUUCUCCAUGGGAAUCCCGGACGCUUUAUUUUCGGUCUAAUUUGCGUAAAAUCUGGGGGCACGGUGGUUUAGUGGUUAGCGUGUUUGCCUCGCACAUCCAGGGUCGGGGAUUCGAUUCCUGCCUCCACCCUUCGUGCGUGGAGCUCGCAUGCUCUCCCCGUGCCUCGGGGGUUUCCUCCGGGUACUCCAGUUUCCUCCCGCAGUCCACAGGCAUGCGGUGAUUGGUUUGGCUCCUCGUCCAUCGUGUCCGAAAUAAACGCCUUUCAUGCGAUUUGUAUAAAACACACAACAAUAUAAAAAUCGAUAAAGUACUUUUGACAUCUUCCGAGCUCCAUAUUUAAUUCCCCGACACGCUCUGCACCUGUUCCUGCGUCCAUGUUGUCUUCACAGGAAGGGGGUCAGCGCCGCAGGUUCCCUCCAGGCCCUGUCUGUCUGAUAAGGCGAUAAUGUUUGGUACGUUUUUCGGUUUGACACCCAGCGCGAGGUUUUUAUUCUCAGAGCCGAACGCUCGUCUCAGAGCCCGUGACUGACGGAUGAGUGUUGGAGUCGAGCACCAAACAGCGGGGGUUAAAGAUAAACCAGGUCGGCCCUGUUAGCCUCCAAUUAUCUCUGUUUGAUUUGGGUGGGGGUCAAGUAGAAUCCAAAAAAGGGCAGAGAGAGAGAUAGAGAGAGUCGCAAUAUACUUUCAGUGCCCUAGCACCAAAAAUACACAAUACACACUGAUUCAGGUGGCUGCCACUGGGAGUGUGUGUGUGUGUGUGUGUGUAUCAGAGACCUUGGAAUGGUAGCAAGACACUGUGUGUGGUGUGCGUCUUCUUUAUCUGAAGCUCUUCACUCCCACCGCAGAUUCCCAGACUGCCUUGCUGUGUGUAUGUGUGAGAGAAGGAGGGAGGGACUUUGGGCCAGACUCACUCUCAGUCUCAGAGUGUGUGUGUGCGCGCGUGUGUGUGUGUGUGUGUGUGCGUCUUCAAGGCCGUGAGAUGUGGUCUGAGCUCUAUUAACUCUUCCCCUGGGCAGCUCGUGUCAGAUCACAGCUCCAGAGCGAGCGAAGCAGUCGAGUCGUCCAUCUUUCACCCCGUCACCGAUCCCUGAUUAACACGGUAAGUUUUUUUUAGCACUUUUUUUUAUUAUCUCAACAGAAGUGUUAUCUAUGACUCUGUGGUCAUCGUGGUGUUCAGUAGGGGUGUGAUAACGCUGUUUAACGUGAAGACAUUGCACCUUCGGACUUCUCGUAUGAAUCAGUGUUUUUCCAUGGCUCUAUCUCCUGAGGUCUCGACUCCGGUAAUCUUCUCACUCGUACUCUCGCGCUCUUUUCUUCUUAUCGUUACCCUGCUAUCCGAUAUUCUCAUCCUAAAGUCUCGGCUCCUCUCGAGGUGUCUUUCUAAAUAUUCUCAGAGUUUUUCAUGACCGUCACCUGUGAGUCUGCUUUCUGACUGGAACUGUUAGAAAUCUUUAGAAAUCUUUAUUCUGGUUUCAGCACGGUUGGUUGAAAGCAACUCCCCCCAAAACAAAUCCAUAUUCAGUAAACGUUUCCGCUCGAGUGACUCUACGUUUAUGAGGGGUUAUCGGAAGUAGCCGGGCCGAGAAACAUGUCCGUUUUUGUUUCUGAGCUCCUGCGCUAGUGCGGAAAAAGACUUUUAACUGAAACGUCGCUUGUAACAAUUUGAGCUGUAAAUAGUAACACGAGAACUUGUGAUAGUUAGGACGAUAUUGUGUGGAAAAAAAUAAGUACAUCAAACGUUUGAUCAUCAGUUAACAGGUGUUGAAGAUCGGGUGGCGGUGAUUAGAACCUGCUCAGGGAGUGCAGAUGGAGCCGGUCUUAUUUAUUCCCCUCUCAUAUCUAGUGUCUGGUGUCCCCUUUGUUAUCGAGGUGUGUGGAGUCAUCAUGUCACGAUCUUAAGAGUUCUGUAAGGCCUUCGGAAAAAAAAAGGUCGUGGAUGCCUAUGAGUCUGGCGAGGGAGUUAAAAAGAUCUCCAUAUUAUUUGAAAUACAUCAUUCCACUGUGAGGAAAAUCAUCUACAAGCGGCUCAGAUUUCAAACGGCUGUCGAUUAGUCCGGGACCGACCGUCCCGGCAAAUUCAGCCCAAGAGCGACCGUCUGAUGCAAAAAGAAGUCUCCAAGAACCACAAAAAUGAAUCACAGGAUUUGCUAGUGAGUCUUACAAUCAGAAUGAGAUCGCACAGAUUUGACCUGUAUGGGAGGCGUGUCAGGAAAAAGCCUUUGCAAGAUUACAGUUUGCCAGCGAGCAUACAGGCAAAGACCAGGCCUUUUGGAAUAAUGUGCUCUGGACAGACGAAUCAAAUAUAGAGUUGUUUGGUCACAGUAACGGCAGACAUGUUCGGUGCAGACCAAAGACAGCUUUUCAGGAGAAGCACCUCAUACCGACUGUGAAGCACGGUGGAGGAAAUGUUAUGGUUUGGGGUUGCUUCACUGCCUCAGGGACUGGACAGCUUGCAUUCAUUGAUUCAGCUAUGAAUUCUGCAUCAUAUCAAGCAGUGCUUGAAGAUAACGUGAGGCCGUCUGUCUGAAAGUUGAAGUUGAACCGAAAGUGGAUCUUUCAACAGGACGAUGAUCCUAAGCGCACUCGCAAAUCCACCAAGGAACGGCUGAAAAAGAAGAAAUGCAGGGUUAUGGAACGGCCGAGUCAAAGCCCGGAUUUGAAUCCCAUUGAGAUGUUGUGGGGGGAUCUGAAACGGGCAGAACAUGCCAGAAAACCCUCAAACAUCUUACAACUGAAAGAAUAUUGCAUGGAAGAGCGAAAAAUUCCAGCAAGCCGAUAUCAGAGACUGGAGGACAAUUAUGCAAAACGCCUACAAGAAGUUAUUUCAGCUAAAGGGGGCAAUACUAGCUUCUGAGGUCAAGGGUGUACUUUUUCCACAGAAGAAUAUCACAUCUAUUGAUAUUUCUGUUAAAUAAAUGAUUGAAAGAGCUAAUAAUGAGUUUUGAUUCUAAAGAAAGAUCUCAGGUUUGCAGUUUGAGUGUGUUUAGUGUGUUAUACGGGGAAAUCUGAAGGAGUUGUGCCGUGCCCAAGCUAGCUGUCUGGUUUUGUUAUUAUGGCUGCACUGAUCGGUGACUCAUCACCACUUCUGGGUGAUCAUCCGCACUGAUAAACCCGUGCAAGGUUUGAGUGUGAGGUCAUGUGGUACAACAGCCCGACACUGAUUGGUCACAGCGACUAGGGACGACUUCAAGAUUGUGAUUUUAUCCGAUCGUAUCACUGAGAGCAUCGCUGCUCAUUUUACAUCGAGUAGGAGAGAGAGAGAGAGAGAGAGACAGGUGUGUGAGGUGG
ensembl:lncRNA